GUUCAAGCCGCCGCGGUAAUACGUAGGGUGCGAGCGUUAAUCGGAAUUACUGGGCGUAAAGCGUGCGCAGGCGGGCUUUUAAGCCAGACGUGAAAUCCCCGGGCUUAACCUGGGAAUGGCGUUUGGGACUGGAAGUCUGGAGUACGGCAGAGGAGACUGGAAUUCCUGGUGUAGCAGUGAAAUGCGUAGAUAUCAGGAGGAACACCGAUGGCGAAGGCAGGUCUCUGGGCUGAUACUGACGCUCAUGCACGAAAGCGUGGGGAGCAAACAGGAUUAGAAACCCGUGUAGUCC
rnacentral:rRNA from 1 species